rnacentral:rRNA from 1 species
AGCAGCCGCGGUAAUUCCAGCUCCAAUAGCGUAUAUUAAAGUUGUUGCAGUUAAAAAGCUCGUAGUUGAACUUCGGGAUUUGCUCAUUGGUCAGGCUUCACUGUCUGUACUGGUGUAACGAAUUCCUACCUUCUGAUGAAUCUUCAUGCCAUUCACUUGGUGCGGAGGGGAAUCAGGACUGUUACUUUGAAAAAUUAGAGUGUUUAAAGCAGGCUAUUGCUCGAAUACAUUAGCAUGGAAUAAUAGAAUAGGACGGUUGGUUCUAUUUUGUUGGUUUCUAGGAUCACCGUAAUGAUUAAUAGGGAUAGUUGGGGCA